rnacentral:rRNA from 1 species
UACAGAGGGUGCGAGCGUUGUCCGGAAUCACUGGGCGUAAAGGGCGCGUAGGUGGCGACCCAAGUCGGAUGGUGAAAGCUCGCCGCUUAACGGCGAGUCGGCCACCGAUACUGGGUUGCUUGAGCACUGUAGAGGCUAAUGGAAUUCCGGGUGUAGCGGUGGAAUGCGUAGAGAUCCGGAAGAACACCGGUGGCGAAGGCG